rnacentral:tRNA from 1 species
UUAAUUGAAACCAAAAAGAGGUAUAUCACUGUUAAUGAUACUAAUGGAAUAAUAACCCAAUUAAA